rnacentral:lncRNA from 1 species
GGAAUGUACCCUGCGGCUAUCUAGAGAAGGCUCUGCCAAGCAGACAGAACACCCGGUGUAAAUAGGCUUUAAUGGAAGCAUUCCUGGUGUAUUGAGAAACUUUCAACAGACGUAUGAAGUUGAAGCUGAGCAGGCAAAAGGAGAUGAGUUUAGAAAAACUCGAGAAGAGGGAGAGGUGAGAUAACCUGUGGCUUCUCAGGACAUGAUGUGAUGGCUAGAGCUAGAACAGUCAUGUUGGAUCUCUGAAAUGGAAAUCGUAGAAAUUGAGAAUGACGGAGCAAAAAGAGAGUAGUGAUGAUGACUGGAGCCAGAGCAGCCAUGGUGGAUCAAGAGAUGAAAGCCACAGUUGAAGAUGGCAGAGCUAUUACACAGAGGGAGGCUGUGUCUCUAAGAUGGCACAGCUGCUGCAUACCAAUAACCCUGCCUAUCCAAACUAUUACGAGACACGGCCGGGCAUGGUGGCUCAUACCUGUAAUCCCAGCACUUUGGAAGACCAAGGCAGAUGGAUCACCUGGGGUCAGGAGUUUGAGACCAGCUUGGCCAACAUGGUGAAAUCCUGUCUCUACUAAAAAUACAAAAAUUAGCUGGGCGUGGUGGUGAACACCUGUAAUCCCAGGUACUUGGGAGGCUGAGGCAGGAGAAUCACUUGAACCUGGGAGGUGGAGGUUGCAGUGAGCCGAGAUGGUGACACUGGACUCCAGACUGGGUGACAAGAGUGAAACUCCAUCUAAAAAAAAAAAGAGAGAAAAAGAAAGAAAAAAAAGAAAAAGAAGACAGGCCUAGCAUAAGAAACUUGGGAAUUGGAAAAAUAGCAGUACUUUUAGUAAAGAUAAAAUGCUUUUCAUUAGAAAUAGUCAUGCUGGGCAGGCGUGGUGGCUCACAUCUGUAAUUCCAGCACUUUGGGAGGCCGAGGAAGGAGGAUCACGUGAGGUUGGGAGUCCCAGACCAGCCUGACCAACGUGGAGAAACCCCGCCUCUACUAAAAAAAAUACAAAAUUAGCAGGGCAUGGUGGUGCAUGCCUGUAAUCCCAGCUACUCCAGAGGCUGAGGCAGGAGAAUUGCUUGAACCUGGGAGGCAGAGGUUGUGGUGAGCCAAGAUCACUCCAUUGCACUCCAGCCUGGGCAACAAGAGCGAAAUUCCAUCUCAAAAACAAAACAAAACAAACAAAAAAAAGAAAUAGUCAUACUGUAAGUUUUAACUUAUAACUUUAAAAGGCACAGAUGUAUGUGUUUCUGGUAUAGGAUGAUGCUUUUUUCUAGUUAUAUGCAUAUGUAAAUAUACAUAUUCAUGCCAACUUUUAAAAUGUAUACAGUGGACAUAUUCCGUAUAUGUAAUUCAAAAACAAUAAAAACAGAUCAAGAGGUUUGAAAUGUUUUGUGUAUUUAACAAGUAUUUAUCAAAAAUAAAGGAG